UACGGGGGGGGUAAGCGUUGUUCGGAAUUACUGGGCGUAAAGGGCUCGUAGGCGGCCAACUAAGUCAUACGUGAAAUCCCUCAGCUUAACUGGGGAACUGCGUGUGAUACUGGAUGGCUUGGAUUUGGGAGAGGGAUGCGGAAUUCCUGGUGUAGCGGUGGAAUGCGCAGAUAUCAGGAGGAACACCGAUGGCGAAGGCAGAGCUCUGGGCCGUAACUGACGCUGAGGAGCGAAAGCAUGGGGAGCGAACAGG
rnacentral:rRNA from 1 species